GGAAACGGGCGCUAAUACCGCAUACGUCCUGAGGGAGAAAGUGGGGGAUCUUCGGACCUCAUGCUAUCAGAUGAGCCUAGGUCGGAUUAGCUAGUUGGUGGGGUAAAGGCCUACCAAGGCGACGAUCCGUAACUGGUCUGAGAGGAUGAUCAGUCACACUGGAACUGAGACACGGUCCAGACUCCUGCGGGAGGCAGCAGUGGGGAAUAUUGGACAAUGGGCGAAAGCCUGAUCCAGCCAUGCCGCGUGUGUGAAGAAGGUCUUCGGAUUGUAAAGCACUUUAAGUUGGGAGGAAUGGCAGUAAGUUAAUACCUUGCUGUUUUGACGUUACCAACAGAAUAAGCACCGGCUAACUUCGUGCCAGCAGCCGCGGUAAUACGAAGGGUGCAAGCGUUAAUCGGAAUUACUGGGCGUAAAGCGCGCGUAGGUGGUUCAGCAAGUUGGAUGUGAAAUCCCCGGGCUCAACCUGGGAACUGCAUCCAAAACUACUGAGCUAGAGUACGGUAGAGGGUGGUGGAAUUUCCUGUGUAGCGGUGAAAUGCGUAGAUAUAGGAAGGAACACCAGUGGCGAAGGCGACCACCUGGACUGAUACUGACACUGAGGUGCGAAAGCGUGGUGAGCAAACAGGAUUAGAUACCCUGGUAGUCCACGCCGUAAACGAUGUCGACUAGCCGUUGGGAUCCUUGAGAUCUUAGUGGCGCAGCUAACGCGAUAAGUCGACCGCCUGGGGAGUACGGCCGCAAGGUAAAACUCAAAGGAAUUGACGGA
rnacentral:rRNA from 1 species